CCUACGGGUGGCAGCAGGGGGGAAUAUUGGGCAAUGGAGGAAACUCUGACCCAGCAACGCCGCGGGAAUGAUGAAGGUCGUCGGAGUGUAAAGUUCUUUUCGAAGGGAAGAAGAAAGUGACGGUACCUUAGGAAUAAGCCUCGGCUAACUACGUGCCAGCAGCCGCGGUAAUACGUAGGAGGCGAGCGUUAUCCGGAAUGACUGGGCGUAAAGGGUGCGUAGGUGGUUUGGCAAGUUAGUAGCGUAACUCCAAGGCUCCACCUUGGAACUACUACUAAAACUGUUGGACUUGAGUGCAGGCGGGUCCACCGGAAUUCCUCGUGUAGCGGUGUUCUGCUUCGAUAUU
rnacentral:rRNA from 1 species